AAACACUGAAGUUUCACUUUUUUACUGGUAUAUGUAAUCCAUUGAGUUGUGUAACUUUACUAAUAUUCGUUUACUAUGCAAGUUAAAUUGUUAUUUUUCGGUUUGUCAAUAACUUUGCUUUUCUACUCUGCAUCCUGGAUUAAGAGGUUGCAAUGUCAAGGAGUUCAAGUUUUGCUUAAUAGAUAACAGUUGUUUUUAAGCUUAGUCUGUAAUCUGUAUGGUGUUGAUCAUGUCUUUUAUUUUGGUCGCAGUUAGGUGUCACUAGAUGGUCUAGCAGCUAAGGGUAUUGAAAUCAGCUAUGGUCGAUUGGUGGUGGGGAAUUGUAGAGGGAUAUGGUAGACAUAAGUAUAAUUGGAAUGGAUACAAGAGGCUCUUUCAGAUGCUAUCAAUUUGGUUUUGCACAUGAUGCCAAAAAGAACUAGGAAUAGCAAAAGAAAUCAGAUGGUACAAGAUCAUACUUCUAGCAGUCCCCGCAGCGGCAUUUUUGGUAGCGUACUUGAAAGGGCUUAUAAGGUAAGACCACCUUAUCCUUGGAAACAAAUUUCUUUUUUAAUUUAGAAUCUGGUUUUCAUGCAUUUUAUUUUCAUGUUGUUUUUGCUGGUGUGUUUAGUUGCUUCAUUAUACUUGUUCCUACUUUUCCUUCCGAGGACGUCGAAAACCUGUUUGUUGUGGUUUAGGAA